rnacentral:rRNA from 1 species
CAGUAGCCGCGGGAAUACGGAGGGUGCAAGCGUUAUCCGGAUUUAUUGGGUUUAAAGGGUCCGUAGGCGGAUCUGUAAGUCAGUGGUGAAAUCUCACAGCUUAACUGUGAAACUGCCAUUGAUACUGCAGGUCUUGAGUAAAUUUGAAGUGGCUGGAAUAAGUAGUGUAGCGGUGAAAUGCAUAGAUAUUACUUAGAACACCAAUUGCGCAGGCAGGUCACUAAGAUUUAACUGACGCUGAUGGACGAAAGCGUGGGGAGCGAACAGGAUUAGAUACCCGCGUAGUCCCUGUCUCUUAUAA